rnacentral:snRNA from 1 species
GUGCUUGCUUCAGCAGCAUGUAUACUGAAAUUGGAAUGAUACAGAGAAGAUUAGCAUGGCCCCUGCACAAGGAUGACACACAAAUUCAUGAAGUGUUCCAUAUUUUU